UACCAAUUCGAUUAAAAUAGUGAGAGAAUCUUUAGACUAAAGUCUAUAUCUUUAGGCUUAAUCAAUUCAUAUAUUAAUUAAAUUUUGAUUUUUUUUUACAGUUAUGGCCACCAACUUGUCGCUCCGAUCGCUGUUAGACAGUGAUAAAUUGAGAAGACUCAAUUUCGAUAGUUGAUAUUGAAAAUUGAAGAUAGUCCUAGAGCACAAGCAAAUUUUGUACAUGCUGAC
rnacentral:lncRNA from 1 species